rnacentral:rRNA from 1 species
GGAUAUGAUCAUAGCUGAACACGCAUGAUCUCGUCUGAUCUUGGAAGCUAAGUAGGGUUGGGCUUGGUUAGUACUUGGAUGGGAUAUGAUUUUGAACAGGGAGAUUUUUUUCA